rnacentral:lncRNA from 1 species
CCCUCCCAACGAUUCGGUGUGUUGCAGCCGCCGUGGCUGCGCCCCCGCCCCAAACCCCGUUUCACAGAUGAAGGCCCUGAUGGAAGCCUAGGAAGGUCACAGAACCUGUCCGAGGUCACGUGGCUAGGAAACAUCCAGGCAGCGUUCGGGCAGACCUCCCAGACGCCGAGGUCUGGGCUGUUCUCAGUGCCAUAUCCUGUGUGUGUGGCAGCAGGUUGGGGACACUGGGAAGCAAGCAGAAUUCCUGCUCUACUUCGUGAGGCUCCUCCCUGUGGAGGCCCCUGCCCGCCGCGUGCGUGUGCGGGGGAGGCUUGUUGCUCCUUCUCCCCAGGAGGAAAGGGUCAUCAGAAGGCGGGGGCCCGGGUCCCUGCUCUUGGCCUUCCUGGAACAGCAAGUCUGGCCUCGCCACGGAGAAGCACAUGGGGGAGCGGGGGCCCUGGCGGAGGGCAAGGGGAGGGCUUCUCCAGCACGUUCUGUUGCCAGGGGAGCCUCUGGGCUCGUGGGUCGGGUGUGUGGAACCCAGGGCUUGCGAAUCUGUGCCGCGUCCCCCGCGCCCCGGGGGUGUGCACCGGCGAUGCGCUGGGACAGCCUGCAGCCCGCCUCGCCUCCGCUCUCGCUUUGGGCGCCUUUCACGCGGCUCGGGACUGCUCGGGCUGGAGAGACAGACGUCCUGGGUUUGAGCCACUGGCCCUUCCUCCCUGCGCCGCCGCCUCUCUGGCAAUUACAAACACCAGCCGCUUUGUGUCUAAAAUGGCUGAGAUAAUUGAAACGGAAUUCGGAAUCAGGGCCCUGCAGGCAGCACUUGUUGAAAGAAGAAAUAAAGAUCGUUUGGGUCACGUCUUUUGUAAUUUGCGUUUAAUAAUCGUACCAGGAGGUGCGCACAAAGGGAGAGGCGCACGCGAGCCGGCUCCCAGCCUGCCGGCCACCCUCCCCGGGUCUGCUGGGGGGGCGGGCAGUGGGGGAAGGUGCCAGGCAGGAGGCUCCCAGGUGGGACAAGGUUGUCUCCAUGGGGCAGUGGCCGGAGAUGGGGCACAGCUGGGGACGGGCCUGAGCAGCCGAGAUGGCAAGCUGGGUGCCCUCGCCCCUGUCCUGGGCACAUCCUCCACACACACCCCUCCCCCCUGCAAGGGGAGGGUGACAGAGUGGGGUGGCCUAGCAGGAGCCCCCAAGACCCAUGCAGUGAUUUCAAACAGGCUGCAGUGGGGCUCUCGUUGGAUCAGGUGCUCGGGACACUGCCACUACUCAGUAUUGCCAGCCACACCCGGAGCUGGGGCGGAGACAGCAUCUAGGCCAUGGGGUGUGCGGAACCUCAAAGGUGUCCUCCAGGGGCCCCACAACCCGCUUUUCCUAAGAAUCACAGCUACUCGCAUUUGGGUCCUCAAGGAGUACGCAACGUCUACACUGAUACAAUCCCCUCGCCCACCAACACCAUGCGCUCCUCAUACAUAG